CCCUUAGAUGUUCUGGGCCGCACGCGCGCUACACUGACGAAUGCAACGAGCUUAUAAUAACCUUGGCCGAAAGGUCUGGGUAAUCUCCAAAUUUCGUCGUGAUGGGGAUAGAUUAUUACAAUUAUUAAUCUUCAACGAGGAAUGCCUAGUAAGCGCAAGUCAUCAGCUUGCGUUGAUUACGUCCCUGCCCUUUGUACACACCGCCCGUCGCUCCUACCGAUUGAAUGGUCCGGUGAAGCGUUCGGACCGUGGCCUUUGGACGGUUCGCCGUCUGUUGGCUGCGGGAAGUUCGUUAAACCUUAUCAUUUAGAGGAAGGAGAAGUCGUAACA
rnacentral:rRNA from 1 species